UUGGACGUUGCGGAUCGGCUUAAAAAACGCAUCGGAAGAGGCUAUUUUCUGUUCGCCAGCAAUUCGAAAUGAGUUAAAAUGUGUGCAAAAUAUGAAAAGCCAUAAAUGGCAUAUGUGUCGAUUUCCAUGGGAAAGUGUUGAGUGAAGUGCGUCCCAGGGACCGAAAGAGGUCCAUGUGUUAAAGAUGUGUUUGCCAAAAAUAAAAAACGGAAAAGUCAAGGGGUUUAGGGCUACAUUGGAUAAAAAACUCGAUGAGCACUCACACAGCAAAUAAAUUGCCCUGCCAUCCGAUUGCCAGCCCAGGAUAUGGUAUAUAACACAACUCUCGAGGACCGUUCUCCAUUUUGGGCCCAUUAGAAAUUCAGAGCGCGUUGAGCACAUUAUCACUUGCCAUUGGACCGAGAUGUCUUCAUUUCCAUGCCAUGUGACUUGGGAUGUCAGUGCUGUACUUGUGGUUCCACCCGCUCCCUCUUAAGUUGCAGCCAUGAUUUACUACGAGCAGAUGAUUUAAUAUAACCGCAUAUAUGGAUGUAGACACACGCACACACCCGGCCGGAGUGCACUUCAGAUGCAUUCGACUGCAUGGAAACUGGAACCCGUUGAACAGGCCCAGGAACAGAAACAUAUUCGGAGGCAGACACCCCACACAUGUUGCCAGUGAAGCGUCCGAUUUGGAGGAAAUCGGGAGGACAGUUCAAGUUCCUCCAUCUUGAAAACUGACGCCCCUAAGAGUCGGGUCUAAACGUUUAAAAUUCUAUUGGGACUCAGGAGUAAUACGUUACUGAAUCUCAUCUAAAUUAAUAAGCGCAAAGCUGUCAAUUCUAUUUUAUUUUCAUUUCAACAUCCCGAAGAACGGUCCAAUCAAACAAACAAUUCGAGAUAUUUAUGUAUUUUAUUAAAUUUAUAGUAAAAGAUACAAACGCAUAUCAUUACAUUUAUAGGCAAAGUAAAAAUAUAAAAAAUGUAAUUUUUUGUUUAGAAAAAUAUGUAAAUUAUGUAGAGCUAGUAAAAUUAAUUCCUGUACCUACAAGUGCUAA